UACAGAGGGGGCGAGCGUUAUUCGGAAUUACUGGGCGUAAAGCGUGCGCAGGCGGUUUUGUAAGCCAGAUGUGAAAGCCCCGGGCUUAACCUGGGAAUGGCAUUUGGGACUGCAAGGCUUGAGUGCGGCAGAGGAGACUGGAAUUCCUGGUGUAGCAGUGAAAUGCGUAGAUAUCAGGAGGAAUACCGAUGGCGAAGGCAGGUCUCUGGGCUGACACUGACGCUCAUGCACGAAAGCGUGGGGAGCAAACAGG
rnacentral:rRNA from 1 species